rnacentral:tRNA from 1 species
AAGGUUUUAAGUUAAACCAAACUCUUAACCUUCAAAGUUAAAAAUAAUCUCCAUUAAACCUUG